GACGAAGGUGGCAAGCGUUAUUCGGAUUUACUGGGCGUAAAGCGUGCGCAGGCGGUUUGUUAAGACAGGCGUGAAAUCCCCGGGCUUAACCUGGGAACUGCAUUUGUGACUGCAUGGCUGGAGUGCGGCAGAGGGGGAUGGAAUUCCGCGUGUAGCAGUGAAAUGCGUAGAUAUGCGGAGGAACACCGAUGGCGAAGGCAAUCCCCUGGGCCUGCACUGACGCUCAUGCACGAAAGCGUGGGGAGCAAACAGG
rnacentral:rRNA from 1 species